rnacentral:lncRNA from 1 species
UUUUAUGUAUGUACCCAUGGAUGUAUCCAACCUCCAACCAACCCUUCUUGGCCUAGUGGUUGAAACUUCCCUUGUCUCCCGUUAGGUCCUUGGUUUGAUUCUUGCUUUGAUCAUUUUCUUUAUGUUCUCAUUUUAUUUCUUGUAGAUUAAUCGUUCUCUAUUUUCUUUCUUCGGUGAUUAUUUUAUCUAGGUAAUCGUUUUUGUGUCUCCAUUUAAGUUAAAUUAUUCCAAAACUCCAUCUUUAUUAUUUUUCUAUUUU